rnacentral:rRNA from 1 species
UGGGGAAUUUUGCACAAUGGGGGAAACCCUGAUGCAGCGACGCCGCGUGAUUUAGAAGGCCUUCGGGUUGUAAAAAUCUUUUGUAUGGGAAGAAAAUGACAGUACCAUACGAAUAAGGAUCGGCUAAUUACGCGCCAGCAGCCGCGGUAAUACGUAAGGUCCGAGCGUUGUCCGGAAUCAUUGGGCGUAAAGGGUACGUAGGCGGAUGAGCAAGUUAGAAGUGAAAUCCUAUAGCUCAACUAUAGUAAGCUUUUAAAACUGCUCAUCUUGAGGUAUGGAAGGGAAAGUGGAAUUCCUAGUGUAGCGGUGAAAUGCGCAGAUAUUGGGAGGAAUACCGGUGGCGAAGGCGACUUUCUGGACGAAAACUGACGCUGAGGCGCGAAAGCGUGGGGAGCAAACAGG